rnacentral:rRNA from 1 species
GAGAGUUAAACAGUACGUGAAAUUGUUGAAAGGGAAACGAUUGAAGUCAGUCGUGCUGGCGCGAAAUCAGCUCGAUCACUCGGGGAUCACGGGCCGUAGCGAGCCUCAAAACCGCUACGACUCGUGAUUUCUUAGUGGCCUGGUGCACUUUCGUGUCGGCUGGUUAACAUCAAUUUCGAUCGUCAUAAAAAGGCUGGAGGGAUGUGGCUCCUUCGGGAGUGUUAUAACCUUUAGCGGAAUGUGGUGGUCGGGAUUGAGGCUUGCAACGAAUACCUUCAGGGCUGUUCCACCUGGCCUCUCAUCGGAAUUCUGGCGGCGACAGCUUGCUGACGUUGUUAGGAUCGGCCUUCGAACAGGCUAGAGUGUGAGCAAAUUCGUUAAGGAUGUUAACGUAAUGGCUUUAAACGA